AUUGAACGCUGGCGGCAGGCCUAACACAUGCAAGUCGAGCGAGCGGCGGACGGGUGAGUAAUGUAUGGGGACUGCCCGAUAGAGGGGGAUAACUACUGGAAACGGUGGCUAAUACCGCAUACUAUCGGAUAACCCAUAUGGGAUUAGCUAGUAGGUGGGGUAAAGGCUCACCUAGGCGACGAUCCCUAGCUGGUCUGGGAGGAUGAUCAGCCACCCGGGGACUAGGGCACGGCCCAGACGGCUACGGGGGCAACAGUCGGGAGUAUUGCACAGUGGGCGCAAGCGUGAUGCAGCGACGCCGCGUGUGGGAUGACGGCGUGCUGGUUAGAAACUCCUUUCACCAUAGACGCGGUAGAUGGAGAAGAAGCACCGGCUAACUACGUGCCAGCAGCCGCGGUAAUAC
rnacentral:rRNA from 1 species